rnacentral:rRNA from 1 species
GUGAACGCUGGCGGUAGGCCUAACACAUGCAAGUCGAACGGCAGCACAGUAAGAGCUUGCUCUUACGGGUGGCGAGUGGCGGACGGGUGAGGAAUACAUCGGAAUCUACUUUUUCGUGGGGGAUAACGUAGGGAAACUUACGCUAAUACCGCAUACGACCUACGGGUGAAAGCAGGGGAUCUUCGGACCUUGCGCGAUUGAAUGAGCCAAUGUCGGAUUAGCUAGUUGGCGGGGUAAAGGCCCACCAAGGCGACGAUCCGUAGCUGGUCUGAGAGGAUGAUCAGCCACACUGGAACUGAGACACGGUCCAGACUCCUACGGGAGGCAGCAGUGGGGAAUAUUGGACAAUGGGCGCAAGCCUGAUCCAGCCAUACCGCGUGGGUGAAGAAGGCCUUCGGGUUGUAAAGCCCUUUUGUUGGGAAAGAAAAGCAGCAGGUUAAUACCCCGCUGUUCUGACGGUACCCAAAGAAUAAGCACCGGCUAACUUCGUG